rnacentral:tRNA from 1 species
GCCUUUGUAGCUUAACUGGACAGAGCAUCGGCCUCCGGAGCCGGCGAUAUCGGUUCGAUUCCGAUCAGAGGCG